AUUGAACGCUGGCGGCAGGCCUAACACAUGCAAGUCGAGCGGAUGAAGGGAGCUUGCCCCUGGAUUCAGCGGCGGACGGGUGAGUAAUGCCUAGGAAUCUGCCUGGUAGUGGGGGAUAACGUCCGGAAACGGGUGCUAAUACCGCAUACGUCCUGAGGGAGAUAGUGGGGGUUCUUCGGACCUCACGCUAUCAGAUGAGCUUAGGUCGGAUUAGCUAGUUGGUGGGGUAAAGGCCUACAGAGGCGACGAUCCGUAACUGGUGUGUGAGGAUGAGCAGUCACACUGGAGCUGAGACACGAUCCUGACUCCUACGUGAGGCAGCAGUGGGGAAUAGUGGACGAUGGGCGGAAGCCUGAUCCAGCCGUGCCGCGUGUGUGCAGAAGGUCUGCGUAUUGUAAAGCACUUUACGUGUGGAGGAAGGGCAUUAAGUUAGUACCAUGCUUUUUUGACGUUACCAACAGAAUAAGCACCGGCUAACUUCGUG
rnacentral:rRNA from 1 species